AAUACGGAAGAGUCUUAUCUCGGUAAUAUUAUGUGACUGUGGCUAAGGUAAGAAUUAUUCAUAUCUAUCCUGUAGGGUAACAUGACAGGCAAUAUAAAUUAUGAAUAAUGUUUGUUUUAGUCAAGCGUGUGAGAAUCCCUGGAAGCCCGAGCAGUUUACAGACAUUGAGAGAUUAUGCAGUCUUUGCAAAGCCAUUUUUUAAUUAAUACACUUAAUCUGUAAUGCUGUGUUUCUUCAAUUGCUUUUCUCUGUAGUUUAUCAUUUGCAUAUUAAUUUGUUGUUAAAGUUAAUAGACACUUUUUAUAUAAAUUUGAAUUUAUUGAAUGAAUUGUUGGUGUUGGGUUUAUAGCCCACUUUAAAUUGCCAUGCUAUAAGUGUAUAGCAUUUAUACUUUACAAAGUAAUUUGAUAUCAUAUUCUCACAUUAAUUAUAUAUGGAGACUUAAUCAAACUACGGAGUGAUUUUUCUUCAUGAUAGCACCCCCGUGUUUUUUGUUCUGAGGCACCUAUGUAGGUAUCCAAAUCCUCUGACACCUCUCCAGGCUUCUGCCUUAGCUCCAUCUCUAUUACCUGAAGAAAAUUCCACAGAGGGAGGAGACUUCCUCUUUGGCAUAAAUGUGUUUAUGCUGCAGCGAGCAAAAGCCAAGGGUUUGAGAAGCUACAUUUUGAAAAUACAAACCUGUAAUGUAAGGAUAGUCAACAUUUUAAUGGUUCUCUAAAAAUGUCGUAAACCAUCUUGGGGCCAGUCAAAAUAUCCUUACCUUUCAGCAAUUCAACUAUUGUUUCUGAAGCAUCUUAUAACUUGGACGCUGGCAUAUUGGGGAUUAAAUGUGAAUAGAUUCACAGUGAAGGGAGGAUGAGCAAGGUUUCUGCUUGCUGGAGCUGCAAGUGCCAAGUGUAUCUGUCCUAUUUACUGGCACAGACUUUAGCUUAAACUGUGACUCUUGAAAGGUUAAGGGAUCCUGCUGAGAUGGUUCUAUGAUAGGCUUCCUAUUGGUCCUCAGAACCUCUGUCACCAGAACAAUCUUGUUGUCACUCAAAAUUCCUGUGAUGUCAUUCUAAAACUCUACCUGGAAGCUUACUUCAGGUGCUCUUUUCUCCUGAAAAGAAAAAUAAGCUUGACAUCUGAAUGUGUGGAUUUGAGAAUUUUCAAUGUAAUCAUCUCCAAAUGAUCUUUUUAGACGGUAAGCAUUUCAAAAUGCAAAAACAUAGAAAUUAUUAUUUUUGAAGUUUUUUUCAAUUCAAGACGAUGAAAUAAAUCUAAAUCUGAGGACACCAAAAGUAGAGGUCCACCUUGGGUUCCUUAAAGAUGAGUUUCUAAGUUGUUGAAAUGAUUUCUUUCUCAUUAACUUGAAGCAGAGGGAGCACCUUUUAGAGUUGCUCGAAUAAUACUAAUAGCCCCUCAAAUUUUUGUAAAUGAAAAUGAUUUUAUUUUAAAUUUAUCACAGUAAAGAUGUAUGUGGGUCUGUUAUCCUAAUCAGUAUUUAUGGUGUUUCAGAGGUACAAACUGUGUGUGCCUAUCUUGUAUGUGCUAAUGGAAAAACAACAUUUGUCCCAUCUGAAAAGGAAUAACGCAGAAUUACCGUCCAUAAAAAAGUAUCACGUAGUGAAACUAAUUGCCUCAGUCAGAAAUCUAAAUGACUUUGUCGAUUUAGAGAAGAGUGUUAGCACUUUCCAGAAACCAUAAUUGUGAUAACAGCCUAACAAAGAAUGGCUAAUAUUGCUCUUUAACUGCCUGAAGUAACAGUACAUACUCCCGUGAUAUGUCAUCUCAUUUAUCAUGUUCCAUUGUGGUUUACUUGCCUCACAAAACUUUCAACUUGCUUUGAACAUUUCUGUCAAGCAUCAGCUACUGGCUGAUUGUUUUCUACCAUACUGUUCUGAUUACCACGUUUUAAAGUCAGAUCCUCCUGCUGUUUCUUUUUCUUCAUGCUGGUGCCUUAGUUGCCUUGAGGGCAUUGCAUCGGGCUGUUGACGUACAGUAAAUCAGCAACUCUGAGCACUCAGCAUUCUCCAUCUUGACAUGUAUGUUGCAAACUUCAUUAUUUCUGUGAUUUAACUUCUCCCUUGGCAUGACUCUUGAUUAUACUAGAUUCAGGAUUUUAUGUAUAGAAACAUUUUGGUGAUUUGCUUGGGGGGGGCUGUUUUCAGAAAUUCCAUUUUUGAAAAUUCAGCUUAAGUUGUAUUUUGCAAACUUUCAUCAGAAUGACUCAUUUAGAGUGUAUUUUAGAAAACCAAGAGAAAUUAACUUUGGCUUUUGCUUACUAGUCCUGUUCACUGCCUGUAAAUUAGAAUAGGCUUGAAAAAUAGCCACUAGUGAAUGAAAAUACUUGUGCUUCUCAAUUAACUACUGGGAGGCAACUUCAGGAAAUUCUGAGAUAUUUCUGUGGGCAAUAUGUCUCUGGAGAAGGCUUCAUCAAAGUCCCCUCGGGGAGUUUCUGGGGUGCUCCUGGGCUGUCUACUCUCCCUCUGUGCUCUCUCUGCACCAGUGGGAGAAGCGCUCACCGCCACAGCCACCAAAACCUGUCCUCUGACCACUUCGCUCGUUUGGCUAGAUGACUCUGUCACUCUGACCACCAGCGCCCAGCUGCUGAACUACUUUCUUACAAGUAUUCUAGGUGUCUCCUAAUGAAUAGUUAGUCACAUCACACGGAAUGAGAAGACUUGGUAUAGACAAUCCUGGAAUCUUGUGUAAGACUUGUAAAGCUUGCGUUGUGGAAUCCAUGUGUUAGGGACAGUUACCAAAUUUGUCCCAUUGUGUGCAUUGUUUUUCUGGGAAACCUCUCUACCAACCCCCUUCCAUCUCUCUUUUUCAUGUUCCCAUCCUAUACAUACACACAUACGUGUACUCACACCAAACACACCUGAACCUUGUAUCACAUGUUAGGGUCAUCUGAGCUACCUGAUGCUAUAUACUUUCCAAUGCUGAUAUGAAAGUCAGCUUUUUAAACUCAUCAUCAUACUAUUUGUUCUCACUAUCACUAAAUAAAAUUCAUAAUGCAAUGUAUAUUGUAUGAACACACAAAUUUAUGCACAUGUUGUGCCAAAAUCCUUUGUUCAGUGUACUGGCCAAAAUGACACUUUUUAAAACAGAUAGGAGAAGUCUAUAAUUUGUAAAACAACCAUAGGAACCAAAAAAAUCUCAGCAAUGAUGCUAAAAUGUCUACUUUUGAAGAAAUUCUUUCUGAUGUUAGAGAAUCCUACAUCUUAGUUUUU
rnacentral:lncRNA from 1 species